rnacentral:tRNA from 1 species
GACCCAGUAGCUCAUCAGGUAGAGCACUACCCUUUUAAGGUAGGUGUACCGCGUUCGAGUCGCGGCUGGGUCACCA